GGCGUUUCAAGAGCAAGAGUUAGCGCCGAGCCGUUUCGUUAACGACGAGGCGUUUCAAGAGCAAGAGUUAGCGCCGAGCCGUUUCGUUAACGACGAGGCGUUUCAAGAGCAAGAGUUAGCGCCGAGCCGUUUCGUUAACGACGAGGCGUUUUCUUUGGUCAGACACCGGAUGAAAACUUGGAUAUCCCAACUGUUGGUCUUCCGAGAGAAGAUUCCUGAUUUAUUGGCGCGUGCGACCGACGCAAUUCGAUCUAGCCAUUUCACUGCGGAUUCCACGCGCUGUUUGGAAGGUUUCCCGAGGUUUACGCGGAAUUCACGCGCUUCGGUUUUCCUAUAAAUGGGUGAGCUCCUUCAUUCUUCCUCAUUAUCAUCAGACUCACUCGUUUUUACUAAAGGUAGCUCUCCCUUCUCUCUUCUUUCUCUCUCUAGUUUAUUUAUUUUCCGGCUAGGGUUUCCGAGCUGCUUCGACGAUUCGUUGGAUUCACUUUUUCAUUACGAGCUGAGCCGCGUAGAUGCUGAGGCGAGAGGUACGGCGGAAUCCUCCGAGGCGUCUGUUUCGCCGAGCCCCUCCAAUCGCUCAUCUGACGAAGCGUCAAACCAUGCAAGCCCAUCAAAUGUCUGCUCUCUGGAUGGCGAGCCGUCGGUUUCGACGAGCCGUCCCCAAGAUCUUGUUCCUGAUGAGGACAUUAACCGCGCCGCACUCAAGGCCGAGGAGGAGGCAUUUCCCUUUGACCUUUUCGAGGCGAAGCUUGAAUUGGAACGUCUCAUGGCGUCCCGAGGCGCUUCCACAUCUGGGCGAGGGCAGAGAGUUAAGAGACAAAAACCUGACCCGCCUGGAUCUACACUCUGCUCCCUUGAGUCGCUUGAGGCGUUGAGGCAUCGCUUCGGGAUAUCCGAGGCGGUGGAGUUCGUCGUUCCAGAGAAGAGCGACCGAGCCGACAACCCUCCAGAGAAUCAUUUCACUCUGUACAAGGCAUUCUUCGAGCUUUGCUUCCUCUGGUUCCCGAUCCCCGGAGUGAUCCUCAAAUAUCUCUGGAAGCACGGGAUCUCGAUUGGGCAAAUCAUGCCGAGGGGAUUACGGCAUAUGAUCGGCAUCUUAGUUCAAAUCUUUGAAUGCGGAAUUGAUAUCGAGCUGAAUCACCUGCUGAACUUGCUGGAAGUCAGGAAAGCUCCGAAGGGAAAUAGAUUCUAUAUUUCCAACAAGGCGAAGCGACGGAUCAUCGGCGGUUUUCCCAGCAAGGAUCAGUUUUGGACCGAACGCUUCUUUUACGUCUUGGUGAACGAGGCGUCGGUCGGCAAGAAUUACGUUUAAAGAACCAAGACCGCUUGGGGACCACUUGGUAGCCGACCCGAAGCUUUGCCUCGGCUCGGAACUAUUUUUGGCAUCUUCUUCCUUUUCUGCAAAUUUUUCCUUUUUGCUUUGUUUUGCAGUUCGGUGCUUUCUUCCCCCGAUUCCCGACGGCCUCUUUACCGUUCGAGACUCUCUUUUGGCGCUAAGGUUAAUUGGAGAAAGAACUUCACCCUCGAAAGAGUAGAAAAAGCGCGAACCAUCCUUGCCGGAGUCCCCGUCAGCUCUUCGUCCUCAAGUUCUUCAAGAGAUACCCGGGAGAAAAUGGUGAUAAUCGCUCUCAGAGAAAGAAAGAGGCGCGAGGAAGAGGAAGCCGCUAGACGAGCUGCCGAGGCGGCUCACGUGCAAACCGAGGCAGUUCCAGCGCAAGCCGAGGCGGUUUCAGAGCAAGCCGAGGCCGUCCUUCAACCCGACCCGCCGAGCCGGGAAGGAGAUAUAAUGGUCCGAGCUGCAGAAGGCGACACUGCCGAGGCGGCUGAGAAAGAUGCAGCGACCGAGGUGGAACCGGGCCCUCCCAAAGUCGACGAGGCCACCGACUUCGGUUGUUCAGAAGCAUGACUCUAGCCGAAAACGUUCGGCUACCGACAAGGGGAAGGGCGUCGCCAUUCAGAAGGACGAGCGUAAGUUGGUUGUUGACGACCCCGACGCUUCUGCCGUCAUGUUCUCGCGUGUAAAUAUCGCGAACACGCGUCUUCCUCCUCCGGAGAAGCUGAGGAGGCUGAGGUCAUACGGCGCGAUGGCGCAGCGCGGUACCAAGUUUGUCGCGGCCAUUAACGACCUGAUGGCCGAGUAUGAGGCGGACCUGUCGAAGGUCGAGCGUCGUUUGGACGAGGCCUGAAAUGAGACCGCGGCGUCAAAGGUGAAACUGGAAGGGGCGCAAAACGAAGCCGCGGCGGCGAAGGGGAAACUCAUCGAGGCGAUGACCCAAGUGUCCAAGCUGGAAGAGGAGAAGAUCGUUCUGCGCGCCAACGUUGACAAGGUCUCUGCCUCGGUCAUUCGCCUCGAGGAGGCGAGGAGAGCUAAAAGCGCCGAGGUGGCGAUGCUGAAGAGGCGUAUCGAGGCCAAGGACGCCUUGUUCGAUGCCAAGGUUAAGAGGGCAAAAAAGGAGGCGAGGCGAGAGCUUACGGCGAAGUUUCAGGAACGCCUCGCCAAGGUGGAGGAGGGUUUGGUCAGGCUUGAGAAGGCCAAAAAUGAUGAGAACGAUCUGGGGCAGAUCAAGGGCAAUCUUGCGAUGAUUGCCGACCUGAAGAAGCCGGACGCCCCGACGCUUGACGAUGAGGAGGCGAAGCUGAAAAGCUGGGAGAGUGAGUAUGCCGACGACGAGGCGUACGAGCGUAUUGCUUCCGAGAUUCGAGGCGAGUUGUAUUACUCUCCCGUAUCGCCCGACUCGGUCGACACCACCCUUGGCAACGAGCCGCUCGAAGAGACAUCGGCCAACUUAGGCGUCGUAGAUCCGAACGGAUCAAACGCGGGCACGCUGGUCCUCUCAAACCUCCUCGCCGAGCGUGAAACGCAGUCUGCGGCCUGAUACUCUCUGCUUUUCCCUGUUUUGUCUUUCAUGCUCCUGUACUUAGGAUUUUUAUCUGUUUUCUGAACUCUUUUAUGUAACCAGUGCCUGGACGGCUUUAUCCACCCGACAUUUAUGGAUAUAUUCUUUUUUCCUUAGCCGUUUUAGGAUUUGAUGCACUUAUUUUUAACGAUUUGUGUAAAAUAUCUGUGAAAAACGUUGGCUUAAAGAAAAUUGUCGAGGAUGAAAACUGCUGUGUCGAGAUAAUUUUGAUUGCUUCCUUAACCAAAUUCUUCGAAAUCGGUAGAAAUACGGGCUAAGGGUUGAGUUGUUUUUAAUGAUCUCGUUUGGAUUCUCAAUCUCGAGCUGGGAGUUUAGAUGAUGCUAGAAAGUUUUUAAGUGAUAACGUCGAGGCAAACUUUUGCGGGCAAUGCCGAGCCGUAUUUAACGACGAGGCGUUUUUGCUGUGCAUGGUGCCGAGCCGUGUAAACGACGAGGCGUUUUCUUUUUGCAUGGUGCUGAGCCGUGUAAACAACGAGGCGUUUUCUUUUUGCGUGGUGCCGAGCCGUGUAAACGCCGAGGCGUUUUUCUCAUUGGGUGGUGCCGAGCCGUGUAAACGACGAGGCGUUUUGUUUUUGUUUUUGUUAACCGAGGAUGAUUUAGUAGUCUCAUUGAAUUUGACUAUGGACCGGCGUUUCCGAGAGGAUGAGUAGGCUUGUCCGGGUUUCAAGAGUUUACUUUGGUUUUAGAGAAAGCGAUGUAGUCUCGACUUAUAAUCUCGUGUGCAAUAGUAAACCAUGACGACCUGAUACGUUUUUGGUCUGAUAUUUGUAUAGCGCGCUUCAUUUUUAUCCGUAGAGGAUAUAACUUGCACCCUCGUCCUAGGAAAGGUGGUAAAAGUCCGUUUAGAGAACUUUGUAUUUGUUGCCCCAUUGUGGCCAGCAACGAGACGAGGCGUUCGGAGGCUUAGUUUGCCGAACUGAAACUGAGGACCAACGAAGGUCCGAGGUAAUCAGGUCAUGAUAUCAUGCCGAAGUGAUGAGUGAAAGAAUUUAAAAAUCUGAGCUUGUUAAAAUUAGUUGCUGAUUUAGAAGGAAUGAGAAACUAGCCGAAGCGAUAAUGAACAGACGUGAAAUAAGUAGAUGGUUCAAAACGAACUGAGAAUGUGCCGAAGUGGCGAUGUUCCUAAGUGAGCAAGCUAAAAUUGUAGAGUUAAAAGAGGUAUGUAUACGUACCCACUCUCCCCCCUUUUUAGGAGGG